CAUCAAACGAAAAGAUAUAAUCGGUACAACCUCCACCCUGGUCUGCAAUCAAAAUGUCACGGAACAAUUGCAGCCAGCCAAGCCGCCUGCAGGGUGAGUCACCCGAUGUGCGCCGCUUGCUGUAGCAGACUCGGUGCCCCCCACCGGAAGUGUACGUGCAGGCUUUGAAACAACUACCGCCUGGCCAUAAAGAACCUUGGCCAAUUUGGAAAUCCCUAAACAGGCUUAAGUCCCAAGUUGGUCGAUGUAAGCAAAACAUGGCCAUAACUCCUCGACUCAGUGUAUCUGCGACACAGCAACGCAAAUCAUGGCACAUCUAUUUUACUGGCGUGCCCCGCAUGCCCACAUCACUGCUCGGAACUGGAUCUGAGAGACGCGACAGCCAGGGCUGUCAACACCGCUGCCUACUGGGCAUCAAUCGUAUGAAAAUAAAAAUGGAACCACGACACGAAAAGAAGACCGCACAACUGAUGAAUCAACAUGCAAUACCUACACAAACAACUGCAGUAACUAUUCGAGCAAGAAACUGACAUCAAAAAGCUGCAAUCAAACAACCAACCUGCAAUACUGCCACCUACGAUCAACGUUUUCAGAUAAAGCUGCACAUGAAUAAACAACUCCAUCAAUAUCAUCUGCAGCCAUAUAUGAGCAAGCAACGCAGACCUUAUCAAAACAUUGAAAUGGCGCGACCUGCAGUUCAUUGUGCAGCGCCACGAAAGAGAAGGGAGGACAAUGCCGGCCAUCACCACAUCACACCACACACCACUGGACACGUCUCCUACAUCAGCAGCGGCAAAAUCUACUCAAACAGAAUUCAACAAUACGCCACACACGACGGUGAAGCUACCAGUCUCCUUCACUGCGACCUCGACACUACAGUACUGUCUUCAUCCACAAACAAACGAUCGACAAGCAGAGAGGAUACCAAAUGAUAUUCGCCGCCACCGGCUGCAGCCGAGACACCGAGUCACUACUACCUACAAACUACUGUCAACAAUGUCAACUUACAC